rnacentral:lncRNA from 1 species
CUGGGAUCUCAUUGAAGUACAGACUCUAAUCAGCAGGUUGGGGGAAGGGCCUGAUAAUCUGUUUAUUUUCUGUUUCAUCACUGGAAGGACACCUAACUUUCAACUUACCUUCUGUGAUGCAGCCACAGUGUGUUGGAACCAGACUACAGCAUAAAGUCCCCCAACUCAACUGGAACUCUGAUCCUGCCAAAUGAGGUAGCUUUGCUGCCUGAUGACUGAGGAGUCUGUAUGCAGUCUUUUCACAUCUGCACUCUUUCUCCCAUGGAACCCCAAGCUGGGACUGUCCCUAAUGAGCCACCAAGGACCCCACAGAGACUCUAAGCUGAGUGCUGGAACCAGAAUGAGGUGGUUCCAGGUUGUGUCAAGUUGACAGUGCUAGCCAUCACAGAAGGUAAAUCAAAAGUUAGGUGUCCUUCCAGUGAUGAAACAGAAAAUAAACAGAUUAUCAAGCCCUUCCCCCA